UACUAGCUUAUUCAAACUGUUAUCAGUGUCAACUUGUCUGAACUCACCAUAUUAUAAUUUUUCAUGUAACUGGUUAUUAAACCUCCUCAGCACAAGUAACUAUAGACAGUUGCAACAAGACAAUUUUACACCUUUUUCAGGAAUUGAAAAUGAACUACCGUGCAUGGAGGCAUCGGUGCUGGCUUAUACCUUACAUGACGAGAAAACAGGUGCUGAAUGAAUUGAAGAAGUCAACAAGAUGGAGCUAGCUACAUGUUGCUGACAACUGCUGCUUUCACUACCUCAGGGUUAGGGCCUUCUCACUCGAUGAUUUUCAUAUAAACCUGUGGCCGAAAGCCUGUACAACACGUUUACACAACACAAGUGGUACAGCUGAUUAUGAAGUGUGUAUGUACAGUCUCGUACCAGGUUAAAGUAAAUCGGCAGUACUAUGAGUCUUUUGUACCGCAGCGAGGGCUACGGCGAGGAGAUCCAUUAUCACCAUACCGCUUCAUUCUAUGUGCUGAGAUGAUUCCUUGAUAUUCAGGAAAGCUACAGCAGAUUGUGCGCAACGGCUCCAAUCCAUCCUUCAACUAUAUGAGGCAUGCUCCGGUAAAAUGGUAAACAAGGGCAAGUCUUCCAUCAGGUUUCACAAAGGCAUCCCAGCAGCGACUAAAGGGGAUAUAAUAUCUAUUCUGAGUGUCCAAAUUGAAGCUAUGCAUG